UGCUAUGAUAUUUUAUUUUAAUAUCUCUGAUAUUGGUGUUUUGCCAUGGACAUGAUGGUAUUCUGAAAACAAAGUUGAUUUAAAACAGGUAAAAGUUGAUCUUGAGCUUGAGCUCAAGCUUAUUGAGCUCAAACUCAAGCUUGAGCUUGAGCCUAUCGAGCUUGAGUUUGAGCUUGUUUUAAUGAGAUUAUUGAGCUCGGCUCAUUUAAACCCCUACCAGCAACCACUUCUCCUCCCUUUCUCUUAGUUCUCUCCCUACUGCAACUCCAAAUUCCAACGCAUAUCUUGUAUCUCCAUGCUGAAUCAGGUUUUUAUUGACAACAUUCAGAUCUAUCUUCUCUGUUCUUUAACCAUUUAUUUGUUUUCUUAUGUUUUAUUAUAUGCUGCAUUACUCAUUAUUUCUUCUUGUUACAAAAUCUUGUCUUUUUAAGCUUUGAUUUUUUAGAGUAAAUCUGGGUUGUUCUUUAGCCUUUGAUGAAAUGAUGUGGGCAAGUGUAAGGCAAAAAAUUCUCUCUGGCACCUCCUCUGCUUCUUCGGUUAGUUGUGAAAGAACUUUUUUUUUUAUUUUCUUUUUAUUUUAUUUAAUUUCCUUUCUAUUUGUAUAGCCUUCAAAGCAUGUUAUUCUAUUUAAAUUUUGAUUUGUGGGUUUUUUAAUUGAACUCAAAUUUAAUUUAUGUUUUAUAUAAAAUAGGUUUUAGAGCAAUCAUUGCUAGGUACUCAUUCUAAUUUGGCACCAUUAUCACGAUCUUACCCUAUUGCCUUGAAGUAGGUAACCAUGCUUGAGGUCUCUUGCUCUAUGUGUUUUCACUUUUGUAUUGUUAGUUUGUUUUCAUAUUAUAGCUUGUAUUCUUAUGUGUAGUGUUAAUUCUUACUAGUUUUUAUUUUACCUGUUUAGAUAUUGCCAUUUGAAAGACGAUCAAACAACUUACGAAAUAUUGAUUCCCAUGGUUACCUAAGAUUUCCAGUUGGUUCAAGGCCUGUAAGGUCAGCUAUGUCUUGCUAUUUCUUGUUCUCUGUUUCUUUUUCCAUGGCAUAUGCACACACACUGCUUCGUUAUACCAUUAGCCUCAUAAUAUUCAUAAAGAAAUUCCUUUCCAAAAUAUUUGUUCUUUUUAUAGGAAAUGCUCCUUUUCUUGAACAAACUUAAAGAAAAGAGGAAAAGUAGUUUGAUGCCUACAGGCUAGAGCAUAUAUUAAAAAGAUUAAAGGGCUUGUCAAUAAAUUGAGCUUGCUUAUCUUGUCAAAUUCAAACGUUUAACCAUAUUCCAUUAACAAUUUCUCUUCUACAACAGGGAAUUUAUUUCAUUUUGUCAGGUGUAUCCCUCCAUUUCUAUGCUGAGCAGGUCCUUUUUCUCAGAUACGCCUAAAACUUAUGUUCCACCUUCAAAAUCUUCAGCAACAGAAGGUAAGAAGGCAUGUUGCAAUGAGACUUCCCUUUGUUGAUGCAUUCCUGUUGAAAAUUAAGAAGAACAAAGAUCUGCUUGCUAACAAGAAAAUUUGGUCACGUAGAUCAGUUAUUUUACCAGAAUUUGUUGGUUACACAGUACGGAUUUACAACGGAAGAACUUUUGUCCGCUGUAAGAUAACUGAAGCAAAGGUUGGUCAUAAAUUUGGAGAAUUUGCUUACACACGAAAGCGAAGACUUCUUAGAGCAAGUACUGCAGCAGCAAAAAAGAAAGGGCCCAAGGGGAAAAAGACUCACGCCAGGGUCUGUGGAAGUAUGUCUUCAUAGUUGCUUGCUGUAUGUUAGUGUGCGUGUCCAUUAACACUGUCCAUCUCUCGACUUAGUAGAGGAUGUUGCAGCGGUCUUCAGAAUCACGAUCAAUAAUGUUGCCAUCCAUUCAAAAUCAGUCAGUGUUGCUGUUGGUGGGCGUUUUAUGUGAUUAAUAUCAGGCAAAUUACUUAAAAAAUCAUUGACGCACUGCUGAUAAGCUUAUAUGUGUGGAAUGGAUAUGCUUCCUGAAUCACAUAUGCAGGUAUGUUGGUGCAUACAUAUUGAGUUUUCUCGCUCAUUUAUGUAUUUCCUAUGUUUAUUUCUUUCCCCAUAAAAUGCAGCAACUGCUGAGAAUUGUUGGGUUAUUUAUUUGUAUCUAGAUGUGGAUUAGCAAUAAUCAAUUGUUAGGCUCAGUGACAGAUUAAAUGAUGAUAUCAAAUAAUAAGUUUUAGUAAUUGGCAAUAUCUAAAUGGAUUGGGUCAUGUGAUUGGGCAAACUUGUAAUGGGUCUGGCUGUCCAUAAACCCACCAAUUAAGGAAGAAGCUCAAACUCUC
rnacentral:misc_RNA from 1 species